UACAAGAGAACUCAGGGCUGGUAUCUUAGAGGCACAUCCCUAAUGCUUAACUACAUUGUUCAAAACAUUUAAAUGCUAAGAAAUUGAUGGAUGAAUCAAUGAAUUAAUACUAAUAGCUUAGUAAAACUCUAUGAGAUCCAGUGUUGCAUGGUGUUCCCCUUCCCCAAGAUAUAAUCUCAUGCAUCUUGGGGUUUGCCUUGUUAGCCAUGGCGAUGAGGGUAUACUAACAAAUGGCAGCUAUGUUGAUGAUAAUAAUAAGGGACUUACGAUAACUCCCUAGGGAAGAUGGUCUUGAGACCCUUUACUAGUAUUCUAAUUAUUGCUGCCUACCCAGCUAUAAAGGAUCUUGGAGAAUUAUACAAUAUAUUUAAAAAGAACAUGAAAGAAUAAAAGAAGAAAAGAAAGAAGGAAGGAAGGAAAGAAGGAAGAAAGAAAGAAAGAAAGAAAGAAAGAAAGAAAGAAAGAAAGAAAGAAAGAAAGAAAGAGAGGGAAAAUAAAAAAAGACUGAUCAAUUGAAAAUGAGACUCCAUGAUGUAGCUUCCAUGAGGCUGUCACCCAUAAUGUGAUGGUUUCCAAUGAUUAAGCUGUUUGGUGGUCACUCACACUCCAAAGCCAUGGCCACCAGCCCAGGGAUAGCAGCACUCAUGAUGAUGGUCUGGACCCUCAUCGAUCACUAGUUAGCAAAGAUUGAAGACGUGAUCUCCCAGCUUCCUGCUCUUAAAGCCAGCUGCC